GUCCACACCGUAAACGUUGGGCGCUAGGUGUGGGACUCAUUCCACGAGUUCCGUGCCGCAGCUAACGCAUUAAGCGCCCCGCCUGGGGAGUACGGCCGCAAGGCUAAAACUCAAAGGAAUUGACGGGGGCCCCGCACAAGCGGCGUAGCAUGCGGAUUAAUUCGAUGCAACGCGAAGAACCUUACCUAGGUUUGACAUAUACGAGAAGCCUCUAGAGAUAGAGGUCUCUUUGGACACUUGUAUACAGGUGGUGCAUGGCUGUCGU
rnacentral:rRNA from 1 species